rnacentral:rRNA from 1 species
UACGGAGGAUGCGAGCGUUAUCCGGAUUUAUUGGGUUUAAAGGGUGCGUAGGCGGACGCUUAAGUCAGCGGUAAAAUUGCGGGGCUCAACCUCGUCGAGCCGUUGAAACUGGGUGUCUUGAGUGGAUGAGAAGUACGCGGAAUGCGUGGUGUAGCGGUGAAAUGCAUAGAUAUCACGCAGAACUCCGAUUGCGAAGGCAGCGUACCGGCAUCCAACUGACGCUGAGGCACGAAAGCGUGGGGAUCAAACAGG